AUUGAACGCUGGCGGUAGGCCUAACACAUGCAAGUCGAGCGGAGCGGCGGACGGGUGAGUAAUGCCUAGGAAUCUGCCUGGUAGUGGGGGAUAACGUCCGGAAACGGGCGAUAAUACCGCAUACUAUCAGAUGAGCCUAGGUCGGAUUAGCUAGUUGGUGGGGUAAAGGCCUACCAAGGCGACGAUCCGUCACUGGUCGUAGAGGAGUAUCAGUCACACUGCACCUGAGACACGGUCCAGACUCCUACGGGAGGCAGCAGUGGAGAAUAUUGGACAAUGGGCAAAAGCCUGAUCCAGCCAUGCCGCUUGUGUGAAGAAGGUCUUCGGAUUGUAAAGCACUUUAAGUUGGGAGGCGUUACCAACAGAAUAAGCACCGGCUAACUUCGUGCCAGCAGCCGCGGUAAUAC
rnacentral:rRNA from 1 species